AACGGCCGCGGUACCCUAACCGUGCGAAGGUAGCAUAAUCACUUGUUCUUUAAAUAGGGACUCGUAUCAACGGCAUCACGAGGGCUAUACUGUCUCCUUUCUCCAAUCAGUGAAACUGAUCUUCCCGUGAAGAAGCGGGAAUUAUUGUAUAAGACGAGAAGACCCCAUGGAGCUUUAAACUCAAUAUAUACCUCUACGCAUUUAUAUCACUAUAGCCUAAGAAAAUUAUAUAUUAGUUUUGGGUUGGGGGGACCGCGGAGAAAAAAUUAACCUCCACGACAAAUAGGCCAACGCCUUUAUCUAUGAACCACAAUUCUAAGAAUCAAUAAACUGAUGUUUAAUGAUCCAAUUUUUUGAUCAACGAACCAAGUUACCCUGGGGAUAACAGCGCAAUCUACUUCAAGAGCUCCUAUCGACAAGUGGGUUUACGACCUCGAUGUUGGAUCAGGGUAUCCUAGUGGUGCAGCCGCUACUAAAGGUUCGUUUGUUCAACGAUUAAAACCCUACGUGA
rnacentral:rRNA from 1 species